rnacentral:lncRNA from 1 species
GGAAUAAUAGACACAAAGUGCUGAAGAGAAAAAAAUGCUCGCUCAGAGUUCUGUAUCCAGAGCAGAUAUAUUUUUAAAAUGAAGACAAAAUAAAAAUACUUUUAAGUAAACUAAUACAAAAUCCCCCCACACACACACAGAACUACAUUUCAAAAAAUUCUGAAGGAAGUUUUUUAGGCUGAAAGGAAAUUUGCACUGAUGGCAACUCAUAUGUAGGAAGAAUUAAAAACAAGAGGAAGAUGUGAAAUAGGAUAUGUCUAUUUUCUCUUUUCUCAACAUAUUCAAGUAUGCAGUUAUAAUAAAUGACAACGAUGACACUAAGGACUAACCUAGUACAUGGAGGUAUAUUGUUGCAAGGUUCCAGUGUCAUUUCUGAAUUAAUUUAAUAUUAACUUUACAUAGGGAUAAAUUAAAGAAGCAUAUUAUGACCUCUACAGCAGCACCCCCCCACAACAAAAAGUAAUUCAGAAACACAGUUAAAAGCAAGAGGAAUUUAAAUAGCAUCAUACAAAUAUUUAACAUAAAAGAAGGCAGGGAAGAAUAGACAAAAUUUUUUAGGAAGAUGAUAAAAUAAAAUCUAUGAAUAUAUUUCAGAGCAUCAUUAUAUCAGAGGAGAAACACCCUGAGGUUACUGUGGUAGAUAAUGAUUUAAAAGACCAUAUAUUUAAAAGACCAUAUCCUAAAGGCCAGCUGUCUGAAUGAAAAUACCUGUCUUGCUGUUAGAUUCCCACUAUAGAAUCAGUUUGAAACCUUUGUAGAAAUCUAUGUUUGUACAAAUCUAUAUGCAAUGACUGUUUUGAUUGAUUGUCUAAUAUAGUAUUGAUGGUGAAGUUCUCUCCUAUCUGUGUUAUAUAUGUCAUUCCUUUCCAAAGUCACAUGGCUUCUUUAAACUUAGUUAGAAUUAUAGCAGCAUAACUUCGUGCUGUGAGCUGUUUUCUUCAGGCUCUAAAGUGGUGUAUUAAGUUUUCAUGUACUUGAAAUAAGCUUCCAGUCUCUCUAUUUUCUAGGAGGAGGAUAUGCUGUCUGC